GAGGCCAUAGCUGAGAGGUAGAGCAUUUGACUGCAGAUCAAGAGGUCCCUGGUUCAGAUCCAGGUGGCCACU
rnacentral:tRNA from 1 species